CCUACGGGAGGCAGCAGUGGGGAAUAUUGGACAAUGGGCGCAAGCCUGAUCCAGCAAUGCCGCGUGAGUGAAGAAGGCCUUCGGGUUGUAAAGCUCUUUCAGUCGAGAAGAAAAGACUGCGGUGAAUAACUGUAGUUCAUGACGGUAUCGACAGAAGAAGCACCGGCUAACUACGUGCCAGCAGCCGCGGUAA
rnacentral:rRNA from 1 species